rnacentral:rRNA from 1 species
GGCGGAGGAUGCAAGUGUUAUCCGGAAUCACUGGGCGUAAAGCGUCUGUAGGUGGUUUAAUAAGUCAACUGUUAAAUCUUGAGGCUCAACCUCAAAAUCGCAGUCGAAACUAUUAGGCUAGAGUAUAGUAGGGGUAAAGGGAAUUUCCAGUGGAGCGGUGAAAUGCGUAGAGAUUGGAAAGAACACCGAUGGCGAAGGCAGCCUUCUGGGCCAACACUGACGCUCAUGCACGAAAGCGUGGGGAGCAAACAGG